rnacentral:rRNA from 1 species
ACGAUUACGAAAACUAGACUUUCUCAAUUUAGAGACUUCAGAGCAGAAGAAAAAAUGGGAAAAUUCCACCAUCUCCCAAAAAGAGAUGUGGCAAUCUUGAAGAGAAAAUUAUCUACCUUGCAAAGGUAUCUCGGCGGGAUCAAAUAUAUGAUGAGAUUGCCAGACAUUGUGAUCGUCCUUGGUCAGCAAAAAGAGUAUAUAGCUCUUCGGGAAUGUGCCAUUUUGGGGAUUCCUACUAUUUCUUUAGUUGUUCUUACCUACGCAUCAAAAACCACAACGCGGUAUAGUGAUUGCUUUUUAAUCUUCAGAAAGAACCCUAUUCAAUGA